GAGGCGCGGGGGCUGCCCGCGUGUCCGGUGGGGUCGUGCCUCCCGUUGGAUGAAGCCGCGCCGGGGCUCCGCCAAGGGCGCCCAGGGAAGCUCCGUGAGGCGCGGACGGAGCCGCGAGGUCCCGCGGAAGCUCCGGAGCCGCCCGAAAGGCAGCUUCGAACGGGAGGAGCGGGCGGAACGGCUCGGCGGCUCGAUUCAAACGCGGAACCGCCCUAGGGAGCCAUGCUGAAACUUGGGCCGCUCGCCCAGCGGCGGUUGGAGGGGAGGGCCGCGCCCCGGGGCUGCUCAAUGCCGUGCCCGGCAGGGAGCCGGCCAAGGCCGGGAGGCUGCGGGCCUCGGAGCGCCCCGACCGGGAUCAGGGGUGCUCGUCGGGCGCCGAAAGGAAGGGCUUAGUGUGCUGCCAGGUCCGUGAGGUGGCGAAACAGCACCGGCUCUCACUUGGUAUUUGUGAAUGCUGAAUGACAGGUCCUCGUUUCUUGCCUUCGUGAUUAAAAACUUAAGGUUCAGGGGAUCAUUGUACCGCUCCCCACGGUGCUACCGCUGGGUCUGUUGCCAGGUAGCCUCUAACAGUCUUCGUUAAAGCGUUUCUGUUCUUUGCUUUCCUUUUUUUUCAGUUGAACCAACUUGAAUACCUUCAAACUUUCUUGUUGUGGGAGCCCCCUCCUGCGUCGGUUUGCUCAUGGUUUUGUUUUUUUUUCAGACUGUUUUGCUUUGAAUUCUGCUGCCACCCUGGCAGUUAGAAACGGUAAUUCCCUUGAGGAGCUGGCUGGUGCAGAGCUGCCUGUGCUCAUGGAAGCAGACAGCUUUGGAACUCUGAAGAGCAUAACCAGAGCAGAUUGUGGCUGUCUGUUUCCAACAGAGGCAGCACUUAAAGCACAGCACAGUAAAGAACUUCCAAGAUUAUUAGCUACACCCUUUGGAAGGAGACUAGACGAGCUUAUCCUUGGGGAGGCGAUAUUGGAAGCCAUGAGUAGGUGUGGGAAAAAUCUCUUUAUCUCUCUGCGGAAGGACAGCCAUGCUUUAAUGGUUUCUGAGACGUGACCUACUGUCCGGGAUAUAUGGAGAAGACUCUGUUCAGUUUGUGUGGAAUAAGCUCUUCUUUUUGCAACCUGCAUUCGGUCCCCACCUUUCAAUGGGGCUGACUGCCACCUUAGUGAAUGCAGAUGAGGAGAAUUCUGUGGAGGAUGUCUGAACAGAAUGCUUUGGUCUGACUGCUGCAGAUCGAGACGGUGUGUUUGGAUCCUUCAAAUCCAGCUCAUUUGUUCUUAGUGCAGCUAAAUAGGAUUCCUAUCACUUUGCAGGGUGAGGUAGGGACGGGUGUGAAGUUGUCGCUCCAGAGCAGAACUGUGCUCAGAAGGAGAAUGAUAAGAGCCUUUGAUGUGUGUGGGGACUGAUACCGUGAACUCGUAGGAAAUGAAGAGGCAGUUUUUGUUUGAUAGGUCAAAUACAAAGGUACAAAAUAGAUUCUACCUACACUUGUUCAUGUGUGUCUUGUCAGCUUGGCAUAAGUAAAUACAAUGUUGUUUGGCAGACCUCGUGCUGAUAGGGAUGUGGUUUUACAAGCCGGUCAUCGGUUGUCAUCUUAAACAUUUUAUGUCUAAGCAGAUAAUUACCACCACGGUUUCAGCAUUUGCUUUCUACCUGUCCCCAAAGCAAUGAAGGUAAACUUCCAUACAGAGCUUUUGUUGUUAGAAAAAAUACGUGCACAGAGAGCUUACAGACUGGAAUUCAGUCUUUCACACUAAAUAAGUCCAGUGAGAGUAAAACAUGAGUGAUUUUGUAUUUUAGUAAUGUACCAUAGUGAAGUACUAGAAAGCCAAGUGCACGCCAGGUUCUGUACCGGUGCUUUAUCGCUGUUUGUUGGAUCAGACACACGUCUAGAGUGCUCAAAAUAAAUCUUGGCAACGUUUCAGGAAAUAAUUCUGAGAUCUUUGAUAAUAAAGACAACUGUUAAUUCCUAAUUUAUAAUUAAACACAGACUUUCUGCCACGUAUAACAGUUAUAGAGUAACGAGAUCACUGGGGUGUGCUGUAAAUAUGUAACUUCUGGUUCUCAGCUCUUAAGGGUUUUAGGUGGAAAUUCACCAGCAGUUCAGAAGCUGAACUUCCAUCUAGUCUGAAUGAUAGUUCAUAAGGUUUCACAAAUGGUAAAUUAUUGCAUAAAGAAACAGAAGAGAUGUUAUCUUGUCCAAAUCUUGCUUUGUUUUCUGAGAACAAGCAAAGUGUGCAAUAAACUGACUUGAUCAGC